rnacentral:rRNA from 1 species
CCUACGGGGGGCAGCAGUGAGGAAUAUUGGUCAAUGGGAGAGAUCCUGAACCAGCCAAGCCGCGUGAGGGAAGACGGCCCUAUGGGUUGUAAACCUCUUUUGUCGGAGAACAAAACCCGGGACGUGUCCCGGACUGCGUGUAUCCGAAGAAAAAGCAUCGGCUAACUCCGUGCCAGCAGCCGCGGUAAUACGUAGGGGGCAAGCGUUAUCCGGAAUCACUGGGUGUAAAGGGAGCGUAGACGGCUGUGCAAGCCUGAAGUGAAAGGCGGGGGCCCAACCCCCGGACUGCUUUGGGAACUGUACGG